rnacentral:rRNA from 1 species
AACUCGCCUGCAUGAAGUUGGAAUUGCUAGUAAUCGCGAAUCAGAAUGUCGCGGUGAAUACGUUCCCGGGCCUUGUACACACCGCCCGUCACACCAUGAGAGUCGAUAACACCCGAAGCCUGUGAGCUAACCUUUUAGGAGGCAGCAGUCGAAGGUGGGGUUGAUGAUUGGGGUGAAGUCGUAACAAGGUAUC